rnacentral:misc_RNA from 1 species
GAUGAAGAACGUAGCGAAAUGCGAUAAGUAAUGUGAAUUGCAGAAUUCAGUGAAUCAUCGAAUCUUUGAACGCACAUUGCGCCCCCUGGUAUUCCGGGGGGCAUGCCUGUUCGAGCGUCAUUUCACCACUCAAGCCUCCCUUGGUAUUGGGCAACGCGGUCCGCCGCGUGCCUCAAAUCGACCGGCUGGGUCUUCUGUCCCCUAAGCGUUGUGGAAACUUUCGCUAAAGGGUGUUCGGGAGGCUACGCCGUAAAACAACCCCAUUUCUAAGGUUGACCUCGGAUCAGGUAGGGAUACCCGCUGAACUUAAGCAUAUCAAUAAGCGGAGGA